AUGAGUUGGGUACCAAAAGCCAUGUCUCGGGCUGCCGAGAGCGGCGCGUCUGCCCAAAGCGGCCCGUGUCCCCAUCUCCCUCUCGGUCUCCGGAUCUCCGCGCCCCGCAAGCCGCUCGGCUCCCGCGGCCGGCAGGACCGCACAAAGCCAGCGAGCCUUACCACGGAUCCGGCGUCCACCGGCGCUCGGCGGGCCUGCGGGGGACGGACGCCUGCCGAGGGUGGGCCGGGGUGGCUCCCCGGGCGCCGGCAGGAGAGACCUCCGGCCGCCCGCCUAGGCGGGGGUGAGGGGCUCCGCGGAGAGACGCGGUCACUGCCGCCCCCUGUGCGCUACCUCGGGCCGGCGGGGACGCGGCCGGAGGGGCUGCCGGCGGUGGCGCGUACCGCAAUGUUUUGCCGCAUCCCGGAGCCGACACGCAGCCCCCUCCCGGGUCCCGGGCCCAAGCAGCGGCCUCGUGGGUCGGGCAGCGGAGGCGGGGACCGCUCGGGAUGUCGCGGGGGGCCUUCAGCCCCGCUGCGCACACAUCUCUCCGCGCGCUCCCGUCCCACAAGGGGCAGCUAUUGGAGUUUCCGUCGGCCUCUAGACCCGGGCGUGCGGCGGUUGAGGGGUAAGAGACCGCCAGCCCAAGCCACGAGGCCGCGGGCCACCGGGGCGUCACUGGCCCGCUUGUCACACAGGCAGAGUGACCCGGUGGCUCCGUGGCCGAGAGCGGCGGUCCGGGCAGCCCCCUGCCCCCCCACCCUCCCACAUUCCCCCUCCCCCCCUCCCCCCCGCUGCCCAGGCACAAAAUGCUGCUCUCACCACGCCAGAAAUCAGCUCAACAUUUGGGCAUCUUGCAAAGUCGCGCUGCCAGCACUUGCCCGGCUUUGCAGGGCUUUUAGAGUUAGCUACCGGCUUCUCUCGUAUUCCCAGUGUUGCAGGGUGCCAGCAGUCUCGGGCCAGCUCCCGGGCCACCGCCGGGAGCCCCAGACCCACGUCCGCCUAGAGUGCUUGCGAGGGGGGCGCAGAAAACAAAGCCAGCGCAGCGGCCCCGACAGCCCGAGCCGCCCUAGACCAGGACACUUUCCCCGCCGGGGAGGCAGCGAUGUUAAGGACACCGGAUUCUUUGGGUCCUCGGGGACCCGCGACCGCGCCGUGGGCAGGCAAGCAGGGUGGUGCUGGAGUAGCCACUGUGGUCGCUUUGGCCACUCCGCCGGCCCCAAACCAACACGACCCAAACUAAAAAUAAUAAGCUACCUGCCCCCCUCCGCGCGCACGCGCGCGCGCACACACACACACACACACACGCGCGCGCGCGCGCGCGCGCGCGCUGCCGAGCCAAGCGGGAAGAGGCAGCGAGUGUCGGUGCAGCUCGCGCAGCCCCGCUGGUAA
rnacentral:lncRNA from 1 species